rnacentral:rRNA from 1 species
UAUCGAGCAUCUUAUCCCAUCUUAAAGUUGGUUUAUUCGGCAGCCGCAAAUGCUACUCAUUAUAGGGAUUUCAACAAAGGAAAUUUAUUCAUUACUAAAGCCAAAGUCAGCAUGAGUACUAUUAUGAAAAAAAUUCAGACAUCAUGCUCGAGGAUAAAUUUUUGCGGGAAACUGGUAGACAGUCACUCAUUUUAA